CAUGGGCUGUAGUCUAUCAGGCCCCUCUGUCCAUGGGAUUCUCCAGUUACGCAGUUUAUCCAUCAUACUGCCCCGAUACACUCCUCCGUUCACCCGAACUCUCUGGGCAGCAUCCCACUGUUCACCUCGACUCCACUCAGGACCGCCAGCAGGCUGCGCGGGGAGUUCACGGCAGAGGCGCAAGGCCACGGGCUCGCUCCUCGGUUCUUAGGCGCACAGAGGCGAUGAUGCAGGAACAAUCUGCCGCUGUGGUUGUCACGGAGGCUGCAGCCCUGGUCUCACGCGAGGCCGUGUGCUCACCACCGCCCCAGCCCAGAAGUGUAGGGGUGCACCUGGGCGUACAGGAGUAACGCGGUUAUUUCUAGUAGGAUCGGCUCCGCAUGGACCCAGGAGAGACUGCCCCUCUGCCUCCGCCCUUUCUCGUCACUGGGACCUGCAGUCACCGGCUGUCUGCUGACAACUGGAAGGGCAGGAGGCCCACUCCUGGGGGCAGUUUCGAGGUGCCCUAGGUGUGUGGCGACCCAACCUGGGAUGAAGGAAAUGCCCUCUGAAGUUGAAGAUGGGAGCCUUCAGGUCAGACGUAUCAGAGCCCCAAGGCAGUGGGCGGAAGCUGUGAGUGUCAGGUCAGGAUGCUGGACCGUCUCCAGGGCUUCCUGAAGGUGGGUGUCAGAGGCUGGCAGUCACUUCUGUGAAGUGUUUGGACUUCCCACAGUAUCAGAUGUACUCACAAUGAAAGAACCACAGGGUACACCAAAGUCAAGCUGUAAAUUACUUGUAUUGUAUACAUUUGGGGUUGUCUGUUUCAUUCUUUCUCUCCAUUCAGAUGUCAGGUUGCUGUCAAUGAGCCCAUUUAUUCAGUCUGAAGCGUGGAUGAGGGACUUCCCUGUGUGGUCAGUACAGUGGUUAAGACUGCAUUCCCAAUGCAGGUUCGGGGGGCGCUCCACAGAAAAAGAGAGGCAGUGGAACUUGCCUCAGCAAAGCCGAGGGGUCCUGAGGAGAGCUGAGCCUGCUGUCCGCCAACCCAGCCCCUCAGCGAGCAAGAGACAAUCAGAGGCAACAGAGGUUCGAUCUAAGCAGUUCCACUUUAUUGUCACAAACUCUUAGUUUAUAUAGGCAAGCAAGGGGGUUUUGCGAGGAACUUUCUAUAGUUGCACCAAUCACGUUAAAGGUCAAAUCGUAAUAUGCCAUAGUCGCACCAAUCACGUUAAAGGUCAAAUCAUAAUAUGCCAUAGUUGCACCAAUCACGUUAAUGGUCAAAUCAUCAUGCGCCUUCAUUGUAGUAGUCUACCGUGAUUACCAGCUGUCCACGUGCACAGAAAUCAAGAGAG
ensembl:lncRNA